rfam:Pongo abelii chromosome 3.
UGGCCCAUGAAAUCAAGUGUGGGUGAGACCUGGUGCAGAACGGGAAGGCGACCCAUACUUGGUUUCAGAGGCUG